rnacentral:lncRNA from 1 species
ACACGAUCUCACUUUGUCCUCGGAUGUUCAUCAUGUGAUCUUUUAUCAACACAACUGUGGCGGGGCCCUUGCUAACUUGCUCCCGAGUGAACCUGUGCUUGCCUACGUGUGGUAAAGCGGAAACACUGUGAACGCUUCUGACCUUGUCUUUUCAAUUUUAGGCAGGUGACAACGCUGAAUUGGUCCUCAGGAGCAGAUGUUCAAGGAACCCUGCCUAUGCUCCAUGCCAGCUGCCAGUCCUAGGUUGGAACAUUCCACUGGGGACAUCCAUGGGAGAGCUAACAAGUCCUGAGCCCUGACCUGAAGCCAUCAGUGGCCUAGCUGCUCUACCUGACUUUGUGGCCUCUCUUCCUGGAUCUCUUGCUUACGACAACCGACAACAAAGAUGUUUGACUCCAGAAGAUGCUCCCCGCGGCCCACCUGAGAGGACUGUCCACACCCCACCCCACUGCGCCCUGUGCCAUCUACCUCUGAGUCCCCAACUCGUAGCCCCUGCUUCUCACCCAUGUUUCAACUCCCACCCCAGAGCCUUUUAUUCCAGAUCUGAGCAGCCCUUGCUUAGGAACCUGAGGUGGGGGUGGGUAGGCAGACCCAGGGGACUGAGCAGGGAGGGGAAGGAGGGGUUUCUGCUCUUGGCUUUCAAAGUUCUCAGUGUGUGUGGCCCUUUGAAUAAUAAACAUAUGUCAUAUAAUGUAAA